UACAGAGGGUGCGAGCGUUGUUCGGAAUUAUUGGGCGUAAAGGGCGCGUAGGCGGCUUGGCAAGUGGAUGGUGAAAUCCCUCGGCUUAACCGAGGAACUGCCGUCCAAACUGCUUCGCUUGAGACCGGGAGAGGUGAGUGGAAUUCCCAGUGUAGCGGUGAAAUGCGCAGAUAUCAGGAGGAACACCGAUGGCGAAGGCAGGUCUCUGGGCAUUAACUGACGCUGAGGAGCGAAAGCAUGGGGAGCGAACAGG
rnacentral:rRNA from 1 species